CCAUCAGCAUUAGCUCUUCUUUUCCUGCUCCAAACAGCCGACCAAGAGGAAGAGAAAAACAGCUUCAAUUUCUUCUCCAUUUCUUUACUAAAUCCUCACCAAAUCACCUCCAACUUCAACCACACUUUGCUAAGCAUUUGGGGAUUAUCUUAAGCUCCCAAAGAGCCUGCUUUCCACGGUUUUUCUUGAGCAUCUUUGGACCGAAAUUUCUGUUUAAGUCAUCAACAAAAGUAAGUAACGAUCAACCUUGAUAAUCUUGAUUUAUGGAAGUUCUAUUACACUUAUAAGUUCAUUUAAUCAUGUGGGUAGCUUGUUUAUGUUGGAAAAAUGGUUGUGUGGGCUCUAUGAACUCCCACAUUUGAUGGAUGGACUGAUUUGGUGAAUGAUGAUGUUAUUAAUGUUAGUUUGGUGCUUAAAUUAGUGAAAUAAUGUUGGGUUGUCGAUAGAAACUUAAGGAUGGUGCAAUGACCAAAAGUGACCAUUUUGCCCUGCUAUGUUCAUGCACUUUGAUGCAAAAUUUUGAGGUUCUAAUGGCUUGUUUAUGAUGUAUACAUGUUAUAUUGAGUGUGUGAAAAGUUUCAUUGAAAAAUAACAUGAUUUCGUCACCCAAAUGUGUUGAUUUCGAAAGCUUAGAAAACUGGAAAAUGGUUCCCGUAACUGCCCAGGCAGUCUUUUUCUUUUUGCUAUAACUUUUUACUCCGAUGUCGAAAUCGAGUGCCAUUUAUGGCACUGGAAACUAGACAUUCCCAUCUUUCCAAUGGUAUAAAAUGCACAUUCUGAUUCCACUUGAACAGUCCGUGCCAAUCAUUUAAACAUGACUGUCCUGUUUCUCGUGUACACCGGAACCCUGUUUUGAACAGCGAGUUAAUGCUCAAAAAUGAGUUAGUUGUAGACAGAUUUUGGAAACGAUUUCUUCUAUGAAAUUGUAGCCUUAGGGAUUUAGUUUUCAAUGCCGCAAACUAUGCUCAAUUCCGAGUUGAAAUGAGUAAUUUAUGACCAGAUUUCGAAACUGACUCUGUAGGCGAAAACCCUCAUUUUGGACAGAUUGUAACCAAUAUUGAUUUGGGCCUUGCUAUUUGAAAGUUUUGGUGUAAAUCACCUACCAAACACAUCUUGGAUGAUUAUUAGAUCUUGUCUACACCAAUGAACCAUGUUUGAGGAAUUUUCCUUGGCCAAAUGCUUGAAAACGGAAAAACGGAAGUCCAAGGCAGAUUUGCCUUGAAACUCCUUGGAACUUUAGUGGUUUUGUUAACCAUCUUUUCGUACAUAUUUUUCUACGAAAUUUUACAGAGAAAUAGUCCCUAUAUGGUAGUAUUAUACUGCUAAAUUUGGUACCAUUUUGAGUCCGUUUCGCUGCUCAACUAAACUUCCAAAGUUCAUGAUUUGAGUUUGGAAAACCCUUGAUUAACAAGGAAAUCUUAGUAACUUUGAGCUACCAUAUCUUGGUGCUCAAAACUCCGAUUCUUGUUCCGCUUGUUUUGUUUUAAACCUAGAUUGCAACUCUAAUAGAGUUCCAAAUUUUAGAGGUUAGUUCAAAUCAAGUGAAUUUUAUCAAAUUUUCAAAGUUGGCCAAAAAUCAACCUAAACCUGUCUUAAGUACCCCAAAAUAGCAACUUUGAGACAAUUUUUGAAUACCUUCCGUUUGGAAUCAUGGAAAAGUGUAUUCUAGAAAUUUUUAGUACUUUAGAAGACGUUUCCAACGGUACCAAGUUUUCCAAUUUUGGAAUCACAGAGAGAGAGAUACAAUUUUUCAAAGAUAGCCCCUUAAAACUGAAAUUCUGGAACCUGAUGAGAAACGAGUUUUUGGAAACUUUUCUCUACCCUUUGAUAAUGAUUAAUCGUUUUGAACUCGAGUUCGUGAAGAAAAUUAGUUUUCUUGUAUUAAUUAAAUCCUCACUUUUGAACCAUUAUUUUGAGUGGUUAAGGUUCGUGUUUGAGGUAUUAACUAGUCAAAUCAAGUGUGCUUUCUUUUUUGAAUAAUACGUGAUUGUGAGUGAGAAAUAUUUGUUAAUUGUCCGGGCACUCAAGGAGAUUUCGAAGGGAAUCUCGGUGCGGACACCUAAAGUUGUUUGCUCACUUAUUUUGAAUCGGUGAGUGUCAAGUGCAUGACUUGAUGUGUUUACUUGAUUUAUCCUGCUUAUAUACUUGAAUAUCACUUGAUGAGACGAGUGUGUACUUUAUCGCACUCGAUCUCCUUUAUUCGAACUUUAUUUGCAUUAAACUUGGUUUCAAAGUCGAUUUGAGUGAAUCUCGUCGACUAAAAUAUACUCGUUUUCGUGUACAUGUCGUGUUGUAGUGCAUGUCGUGAAUGUCGUGCGUGUCGUGUUGUCGGGUAGAGUGAACCUCCUCCUCGACUUAUAGGGACGCCCAAUUCUCUUUGGCUAAUCUUGCGACUCGAGCUGGCAUGGGCUUGGUCGAGAAGCUUGAUGAACUAAGAGAAUAACAAAACAAAACUUGAUCUUUUGAGAUCUUGUUCGGCAUACUCGGCGAGUAUCACCCUUUUCGUACGUGUUUUGUUACGGAUCCGAGAGGGUGGAAUGUUGGCUGGAGGUUGUAAGUGAAGCUUCUACGGAUUUCAAAACCUACCCGAUUGACGGAGUGUCAACUCGUGGAGGUCGCGGAUUGAGCAUUGACAAAGCAUGUGGAAAUUAGCUCCUGAGAGCUCCUGUAUCCUACCUAAGUGUGCUUAAAUUUGUUAACGUGAAUUACCUGAAUUUAUCGCUUUAUUUAUGGUAUAAGUGUUAUUGAUACUUGAACUACGUGCUUGCAUGACUUUCUUGGCCUCACUGAGUAUUGGCUCAUCCUAUUAGUUUGUUUUCCUUAACAGGAACCGGAAUGGAAGAAGUUAAGAAAUGCCGACCUGAGGCACUUUUGUAUUAGUGUCUUGACUGUAAUCGACUAGACACUUUUGGAUGUUAUAUAUUUUUGGGGAAAGUGAUUGUAUCUCGAAUUUGUGAUGUAAGACUGAAUAUUUAUGUAUGGAAAUAACUUUGUACCUUUAUUCCGACUUACAUUGUUGGUAUUAGAUUUUGAGUUUGAAUUGGAAUUGUCUCGAAUCCUGGCGAGAGUUGGGCAGGCGUCCCGCG
rnacentral:lncRNA from 1 species